rnacentral:rRNA from 1 species
CCCCUAGAUGUUCUGGGCCGCACGCGCGCUACACUGAACAGUUCAACAAGUCUUAACCUUGGCCGAUAGGUCUGGGUAAUCUUUGAACGCUGUUCGUGAUUGGGAUAGACCUUUGCAAUUAUGGGUCUUCAACGAGGAAUUCCUAGUAAACGCAAGUCAUCAACUUGCAUUGAUUACGUCCCUGCCCUUUGUACACACCGCCCGUCGCACCUACCGAUUGAAUGGUCCGGUGAAGCCUCCGGAUUGGCGCGCACCUCGGUGCCGCCGAGAAGUUGGCUAAACCUUACCAUUUAGAGGAAGGUGAANUCGUANCA